ACGAACGCUGGCGGCGUGCUUAACACCUGCAAGUCGAACGGAAAGGCCCUGCUUUUGUGGGGUGCUCGAGUGGCGAACGGGUGAGUAACACGUGUGUAACCUGCCCUUGACUUUGGGAUAACUUCAGGAAACUGGGGCUAAUACCGGAUAGGAGCUCCUGCUGCAUGGUGGGGGUUGGAAAGUUUCGGCGGUUGGGGAUGGACUCGCGGCUUAUCAGCUUGUUGGUGGGGUAGUGGCUUACCAAGGCUUUGACGGGUAGCCGGCCUGAGAGGGUGACCGGCCACAUUGGGACUGAGAUACGGCCCAGACUCCUACGGGAGGCAGCAGUGGGGAAUAUUGCACAAUGGGCGGAAGCCUGAUGCAGCAACGCCGCGUGCGGGAUGACGGCCUUCGGGUUGUAAACCGCUUUCGCCUGUGACGAAGCGUGAGUGACGGUAAUGGGUAAAGAAGCACCGGCUAACUACGUG
rnacentral:rRNA from 1 species